UACGUAGGGUGCAAGCGUUGUCCGGAAUUAUUGGGCGUAAAGAGCUUGUAGGCGGUUUUGUCGCGUCUGCUGUGAAAUUUCGGGGCUCAACCCCGAACUUGCAGUGGGUACGGGCAGACUAGAGUGUGGUAGGGGAGACUGGAAUUCCUGGUGUAGCGGUGAAAUGCGCAGAUAUCAGGAGGAACACCGAUGCGAAGGCAGGUCUCUGGGCCAUAACUGACGCUGAGAAGCGAAAGCAUGGGGGAGCGAACAGG
rnacentral:rRNA from 1 species